UUAUAAAUAACAUAAAAGAAUAGAGAAGCAGAGGGAUUCCCGGAAAUGGAAUUGAAUUGCCAUGGUGGAAACAAAAACAAACAAGCACUAACGGAUAGAAUCUGUAAAACUAUCAAAAACCCUGAAACUCAAAUUCAACAAUUCCCUCCCACAGAACCAUAAUCGUUGAAAUCAAUGGCUUUAGCGAUUUCAAAUGUCCUUAACUGCCCUAAACCCCAAAUUUCCCUGAGGAAUUACACUCUCAAGAGCUCAGUCUUGAAAUCCCCAACUUCCUUUAUCAUAUUUCCUAGAGCGGUAAGGGAGCAUAAAAGUUUUGUUUGUGCUUCUGCAUCAGCGGCAGGAGGUUCUGGGUCAGAUAAUGAUUUAAACCCAUAUGAGGUUCUUGGUGUGAAUCCCAUUGAGGGGUUUGAUAAGGUCAAGGCAGCUUAUGAAAAAAAGCGCAAGGAGGCCGAGAAACAGGGUGAUGAAGCAGCUGCUGCUCAACUAGAGAAGGCAUAUGAUAAAUUGAUGAUGGCUCAGUUAAGUAAUCGGAAGAAGGGUGUGACAUAUGGUUCAUUCAAGGUUGCCAAGGACAUAAAAUAUGCUGAUAAGCAGCCAGUUGUACCAUGGGGACCAAGGUUUGCCAAGUCCAGUGAAAAUGACAUGCGGAUUAACUUGGCAAUAUCUGCUGCAUUUACAGCUUGGAUUCUUAUCAAACGCAAUGCUGAGUAUAAACCUCUUCAGUUUUUGGCUUUUGCAUUUGUAUAUCGAAUUUUUGAGAAGUUAAAAACCUUUGAACCUCCUGUAUCACCGACAUAUUCAGAAGAUGGUGAAGAUGAGGGGCGAACACUGCGGUUGGGAAAACGGAUACUUCGUGCUCUUGCACUAGUUUUUGGCUCUAUCACUUUUGCCUCCUUGGCAUACACUGGUAUUUUGAAUUUGAUUGAGAUGGCUGGCAGUUACAUACCUGCUUUUCUUUACAAUAAUCAGGCAAUUAUUUAGUUAUUGGAUUCGUCGAACUCAACUGCUUAUGGUCAGAAUUUGUGGAGCAGCUCAUACUUCAUUUGAUGGAACUGCUAAUCACCACUGCUACAUCAGCCAUUCUCUACAUCCUGGCAUCAUAUUAUCGGUAAUCAAUCGGUCAAGAGGCCAAAGGAACAGUGCAUAAAGCUUUUUAUCUUGUUUCUUGUUUUUUCUCAGUUUAUUCAGUUGUGAAAUGAAGUGAGGAACUUUGUAAAAAUGGAACAGUAAUAGGAAAAGAAAAUUUUGGUUAAAAUAGCAUUGCUGUAUAUUUGUUCUGCACUUGUUCUGUUUUUGGCAACAUACAAUGGAUUAAAUAUUAAGUAUAAAUACUUAUUAAUUCAUAAUCAUUUUUAAUUAUUA